GGAUCAGAUUGUUGGUCGUGCCUCGGUACGUACUGGCAUUAUUGGUUCCUACCUUCUGAAGAACCGCGAUGUCAUUUAUUUGGUGUGAUGGGAAAUCAGGACUGUUACUUUGAAAAAAUUAGAGUGUUUAAAGCAGACUAUCGUCUGAAUACAUUAGCAUGGAAUAAUGAAAUAGGACGGACUGAUUCUAUUUCGUUGGUUUCUAGGAUCACCGUA
rnacentral:rRNA from 1 species